rnacentral:rRNA from 1 species
GAUGAACGCUGGCGGCGUGCUUAACACAUGCAAGUCGAGCGAGAAAAGUUCUUCGGAGCUUUUCUAGCGGCGGACGGGUGAGUAACACGUGGGCAACCUGCCUCAUAGAGGGGAAUAGCCUUCCGAAAGGAAGAUUAAUACCGCAUAACAUUGUUGAAAGGCAUCUUUUAACAAUCAAAGGAGCAAUCCGCUAUGAGAUGGGCCCGCGGCGCAUUAGCUAGUUGGUGAGGUAACGGCUCACCAAGGCGACGAUGCGUAGCCGACCUGAGAGGGUGAUCGGCCACAUUGGAACUGAGACACGGUCCAGACUCCUACGGGAGGCAGCAGUGGGGAAUAUUGCACAAUGGGGGAAACCCUGAUGCAGCAACGCCGCGUGAGUGAUGAAGGUCUUCGGAUUGUAAAACUCUGUCUUUAGGGACGAUAAUGACGGUACCUAAGGAGGAAGCCACGGCUAACUACGUGCCAGCAGCCGCCGUAA